UCAUAAUUACAUAAUUGUCUAUGUCUGGAAAAUAAUCGGUUUUUGUUAAUGAUUCUAUGAUAAUAAUCAAUGGCAUAAGAUAAAUCAGAGAUUAAAUUGUCAAUUGAAACGUUUUUAAAUUAUGUGACUCAGUUUCAAUAGUACAUACACGCGUUCCAAGAUCGACUUUCCUUUUCUAUCAUCGUACAGGUUGAUAACUAUUUAUAUGCUGGUUUAAUUAAUUGCCACGGCGUCACUAUCUUAACAUUGUAUUUAAUUAAUUAUUCUUAGAUCGUAUUUUGUUAGUCUUAUACUAAUUAGUUAGAAAUUUAGUUGAUUGCAUAGGAAAUGAAUUGUAAGGGCAAAUAAUAAUUUCCCCCCCACCCCCAAUCAGUGUGAAACAUUACAAAUUCAUGUAAGGAUAUACAAGGUAAAUCCAAGUCACGCUACUCUUGGGGAGUCCUAAAAUUACUUGUUCGUAAUAUCGCGUGCAAACCACGAGAACAAGCAACAUCCGUAAAAGUUAGCGAUUAUCUUCUCAAAUGAUUGGCUGUGAAAAUAUAGGGGGAAUAGUAGAAGAAAAAUCCUUGUCGUUCGAAACAAGAGAGAGAAGAGAAAACUUGGCAAAAAAAAAAAAGACGAUCUUCUAAAACAAAAAUGUUUGAAAAUCAUUUUUCUCAUGAGAUUUUUGGUAUAUUUUUGAAAUUGUUUAUAAAAAUUAAAUUUAACUUUGCUUACUGGACCACAAAAAAAAAGGAUCGAAUCGAAAUUGCGACUUUCUGAAUUGUGCAUUCUAAUUGGAUGUUGGCACGAACGCUGUCAAUCUGUCAGUUACUUACACGCCAGAUAUCAAGGUGAAAUAUUUAAAUGUGCCCGCAUUAUAUAUGUUUGAUAUGAUCACGAUGGAGGAGACAGGAGCAAGUGAUUAAAUCGAGGGAGACAGGCGAGACGAGCCGCUUCACUUUUUUUUUCUCUAUAUAUCGUUGGGAUAAGAAAGGAUUGUUAAAAAGAUAAUUGAUUGUUCAUGAUGUGGUGCGAUUUGCGAGUAUAUCAUAACGGGCAUGUAAUCAUUAUCACGUUCCAUGUUGACAACACGUCUCCAAUAAUUGAUGCAGGACAUCUGUUCAUCAAACGUCGAUUGGAAUACUUUUUUUUCUAUAUACAUAUAUAUGAUCGUUAUUUAAACAGUAAGUUAAUUCAAAAAUAAUUACUAAUUCAAAUUUAGGAUUUUCAUUAUAUUCUUGAUAAUUUUACGCUAAUUAAUCAUUUUUCAAUAGUGAAAAUAUUUUUAUAUUGCUUUCUAAAAGUUUUCUUAUUAUAUUAAGCAUUUUAUAUAAGCGCGCUUUUUUCGACCUAUAAGAGAACUGACGUAGCGCAAGCGCAGUUGCAUUUAGGUAGAGUUAUUGGCAACUCUGAUUGGACACAUGGAGUUGGUUUCCAUUGCUCUCAAUCGCCAAAAUCUCCACUCGUCAUUAGUCAUAAUUCUCGUCAACUACCGCACCCUGCUUAAGUUGGCAACACUGUGUUCACUUUGACAGAAGUUCAGUUCGUUUUAUUAAAGAACCAUAUACGAGAAUAGAUUGCAGGAACCAAACGAGAUUCGGUGAUAACUAUUUGAUCAUGAUUUUGUGUAUUGUAAAGUUAACCUCAAAAGAAGUUUCCCACUUUUAUUAAUUAAAGCAAUUUUUAAUAUUUAAUUUUUACAGAUUCGGUGAUUACUAUUUGGUCGUGAUUUUUUGUAUUGUAUAGUUAACCUCAAAAAAAAAUUUAAGUUGCUGUUUUUAUUAAGAGGGGAAACCACUUAAGAGGUUCAAGAAAUCGAAUUGUUUUUUUUUUUGCAUAAAUAGUCAGCUUAUGUAUUCAAAAGUAUGUUGAAAAAGUUUUUACAACGAAAUUCGGUGUCCUCUCUGUGCUACAGGCAAUGAAUGAAGCUUGCUCCGAGUAUAUUUUCAAUUAAAAGUUCAAUUAAUAAUAAAAUUUGUAUAAAAUGUGAAUAACCUUCAUUUUUUUGCUUUUAGAUCAAAUUUGUAGACUCCACCUUGCACAGCAAUCAUAAACUCAGACGCCACAGCUAUACAGGAUUAAUCGCUGCUAACUAGUAAUGUUUUUAAUAAAAAUGCUUAAAAAAAAUUGUGAAACGCAGAUAAAUAUAUGUGCAACAUAAUGUCAUUCUUGCAUUUCAUUUAAAAAAAAAAAUGUUAUCCUUUUUGAAAAAACUCCCGAAAAACGGCUAAAAAACAACGUCCUAAUGUGGUUUCCCCUAUUAAUUAAAGCAAUAUUUAAUUUUUGCGGAUUCAGUAAUUACUAUUUGGUCGGGAUUUUGUGUAUUGUAAAGUUAACCUCAAAAAAAAGUUUGAGUUACUCUCUAAUUCCAUUGUCAUUAAAAUUUAAUUAAUUAUAAUUUUGUUUAAAAAAUUUUUUAAAUUAAAAAAAUUUGAAAUUAAAAAUUACAUAUAAAAUUUGAAAAUAUUUAAACUUUGUCAUGUUUUUGAUAAAGAUAUUAUACAUAUUUGUGUGGCAAAUUAUAAUAGCGCAAAAAUUGACACAUUUAAUAAGCAAACAAUAAUCAAUAUUUGUAAAAGAUGUUUAGUUGAUUACAAUCUGUUACUAUGUUUUGAAAUGGAUAAAAAAGAUAUUUCUACAAUGACAACCUUGAUCUGUCUCUGAUCCUCUUUUAUCAAUUGCAUCGUAUAUAUAUAUAGCUAUAUAUAUAUAUAUCAAAAUUUUUGAAAUUCAAAAUACUUUUGAACUACAAGUCAUCUACAGCUUCUUUCUAUUAGAAAACAUUCGUAUAUUUUAUACAAUUUAUCUUUAUACAUUAGCUUACUUAAUAUUCAACUGACAUUGAAAAUCAUUGAAAAUAAUGUAAUCUCAAAAUAACCGAAACAUAUUUCAAAUCUAAUUUUUGAAUCUUUGUUCGUCUAAGGAUAUUUACACAACAAAAUUUUCUAGUUUUAAAAUUCUACUUUACGAAUUUUAUAAACAUUAUCUUGAUGGAAUAUUUUAUUCUCAAAAAAAAAACUACAUUUUUUUUUUAAAUUAUUUUUAAGUUUAAAUUAAAGUUAAAUUAUUUUGUGACUACCUUUAUUUCUUGGCAGAAUAAACUUGUAUUAAUUUUAUAACCUCAAGUUAGAUUUUACAGCCCUAAAGUUUAACUGAUGGCAAUGAUACUAAAACAUGUUGGAACGCAACUUAACAAUUUUUAUGUCUUUAUGUUUGAUGAUAUUAAAAAUACGCCUUUUCCUCAUUGAGGCAUAUUAAGUAAUUAUUAGCAUUCUUCGACAUUUAAAAAUUCAUUGAUAUUUUAAUAUUUUCUUAUUUGCUAUAAAAUUUUUUUUUUUUUAAACAUUUUUGUUUACUACUUUUUAUCUUUUUAUACAAAAAUAUCAGUGACUUCUUAAAAUUUUCUUUCUGAAAAUAUAAUUUUCUAAGUAUAUAGUUUGUUUAAAAAAUUGUUAAUAAAGUAACAAGAGUCGUAAUUCCGCAUUUAUAUAACAAUUUAAAGACAUCUAAUUGCACUGCAAGGAAAAUGCUGACAUUCUAAAGAAGAAUAAAAAAUAUAUAUUCUCUCUCGGGUUUUUUUUUUUUUUUUUUUUGUGCGCGAUGAAGAACAGAAAAGUGGUUUAAUGUAAAAAUUUAUCUUUCGUAGAAUCUGUAUUUUAACUUAUCAUGUUAGACGAACAAAUUUUUAUCAAGUUGAAAAUGUGUGUGUGUGUGUAAACUAGUUAUGUAAGACACCUCCAUGUCAUGUGCCACAUAUAUAUUCAUCUAUUUACUAUUUAUUACACUGUAGUAUAUAGAGACUUUGGCUAAACUUUUCAAGCGUAAUGAUCCCUCACCUGUUAUUGCACAAAUUAACUAAUAAAUACCUUUCCCAUAUUAAUAAUCACUUUUCAAAUCUAUUUUUUCCGGUAUCCUAACAAUUUAAUUCAAUUCAAUCGAAAAGACAUUUUGUAAGAAAAAAAAAACAAAAUAAAUUAUUUAUAAUCAGUAAGGAUUUUUUUUUUUGCAAACAUUUUUUUUGUUAAAAAUUUGGUUGAAAUAUUAUCGACUAUACUCGUUCAAUAUAUACUUAGUCUGUAUAUAAAUUCAAUGAAUCCUGGCAACAAGUUAAGAGAACGUUAACUUUCUACUUUCACCUUGAAUUUAAACCUUGCGGUACUAUACAAAGUAUAAGAAAACUUUAAAGACAAGUCUAAAUUGUGUGACGUUUAAUUUGCAAAUAAAUGUAUGUUUAUUGUAAAAAAAAAUAAAUAAAUAAAGAAACAAAAUUUUAGAAUGUAAACUUAUAGAACAGUAAAAAAAAAACAGUUAUGUAAAUGAGGCUUUCACUUUUUAACAAACAUUACUUGUUUAUUUGCUAAGCUAACUAAAUUAUUUAAUUAAACACUAUUACAUUUCAUUCAAUUUCAAUUCAAUUUUCACAUGAAAUUUAUAUAUAUAAUUUCAAAAAACAAUUUUUUUGUUUUUAAUUUUAUCGAAUCCCACAAAUAUAAACGUAGGAUUUAUUUUAUUUUAUUAAAAUUCAAUUAACCGGCUAAUUGUACUUUCGAACGCAAAAAUAAGCUAAAUAAAUUAUAUAUAAUUAAGGAGAUAAAAAUUUGGACAAUAUUUUUCUAAAAUACAAAAAGAAUAUAAUAAUUUUUACGUUUGUAACAUGGUUGUCAUAGAAACGGUUGUCAUGGAUACGGUUGCUAUGGAAACGGUUACUAUGGAAACGGUUACUAUGGCAACAGUUACUAUGAAAACGGUUGCUAUGGAAACGGUUACUAAGGAAACGGUUACUAUAGAAACGGUUACUAUGGCAACAGUUACUAUGAAAACGGUUGCUAUGGAAACGGUUACUAAGGAAACGGUUACUAUAGAAACGGUUACUAUGGAAACGGUUACUAUUGAAACGAUUAUUAUGGAAACUUUUACUAUAUGGAAACGGUUACUAUGGAAACGAUUAUUAUGGAAACUGUUACUAUCGAAACGGUUACUAUGGAAACGAUUACUAUGGAAACGGUUACUAUGGAAACUGUUACUAUGGAAACGGUUGCCAUGGUACUGGUUGCUAUGGUAAUGCUUUUAUUUUUUCCAAUAUUUUUAGGCAAAUAAGAUAUCAUUUUGUACUUUAAAUAUAAAAAAAAAAAAUUCCAUUUUCACAUAAAAGAAGAAAAUUUUUUAUUUUGUAUUUAAAAAAAGGGUGGCUACAAAUUAGUCAAUAAUUUGCUUAUAUAAACAACUUGGACCCUUAAAUUAAAUUAAAAGAAAAUUGAUUUUUAAAAUUAGAUCAAAAAAAUUUUAUUCGAUGCUGUACUUUUUAUUGAUUUGCAUAUAUCUAAAGAAACUAUGUAUGGUGAACUUUCACCCUAUGUUUUGCAAUCAAGCUAUCGAGUCAACGAAAGAUUAAUAGCUGACCAAUUAACCUUUGUCAUGUUUCAUUAACGAAAUAAUCAGCUCCAUUGAAAUGUCGAUGCGCCAUAUUCAAUAUAUAUAAUACUUAUUUUUAUAUUAAUUUUCGUUUUAAGAAAAAUUUUUACGGUUUAUAUAAAUAUUUUAAUGAAUUGAGGGUAAUUUUUUUUCAUUUUUUUUUUAAAUAAAAAUUAAAUAAAAAAAAAAUCUUUAUCUAAAAUUAAUUCUUUAGAAUAAGAAAAACUUUCGCUGUUCCAGUGAAAAUUUAUCAUUUUUUUUUCUCAUGCAGUAGUAUUAGUAAUUAAUAGUUAUAAAAAUUUGAAAUUUACAUUAGUAAAAAAAAAAUUGGAAUUAGAAUGAAAAAUUCUUUAUUGAAUUGUAAAAAAAAAAAAAAAGUUUCAACACCUUUAUAAAAUAAUAAAGUGAUAUUAUGACAAGAGGGUGGAGUUCAUCGAUUAUACUCUCGGCGAGUAGCUUAAGCGAUUUAUAAUGACUACUCGACGCAAACAGUAGUCGAGUAGGUGAUUAUUUAACAAAUUAUUAAGCAUCAUCCUUUUUCACGCCUAAUAUAUAUAUAUAUAUAUAGUUGAGUAAAAAAAAAUGUAAAAAUUUUUUUUAUAAAAUUGACGAAAUAUUUUUAUUAAUUAAUUAUUGAAAUAAAAAUUAAUAUUUCAAAAUCAAUAAAAUGAUAAUAGAAAAAGAAUAUAAAUUAACAAAUUAAAAAAAAAAAUGUUAUAGUUUUUAAUUUUGUGGAGUAAGCACAUAGAUUUGUUAUGACCACAUUUCAAAACUGUCGUUAAAAUCAUUUAUGGUUAGCUUGCGUGGUCUUGUUCAUGUCGUUUCCACAUGUCCCGAUCAUCGUAUAGAUUACGACUAAAACUUUACUAUAUAUUUUACCCUCGAUUUUUCCUCUAGAAGCAUCAUAUAUAUAUAUAUAUAUAUAUAUAUAUAUAUAGCCAAUAUAUAGAAACGCGAUAUUAGAUGAAAUCGACAAAUGUUACUUCAUUUUUAUGCCUUUUUCGUGCGACAAGUUUACCUUUUGCUCCGCGAAAUAAUAUAUUUUUUCUUUUUUAACAAAAAAAAAAAAAAACUACAUUUUCCUUGAGUUUUCUGAAAAUUAUUUUCCGCGAUUUUAAAAUUUAUAAAAUGUUACUAAAAGGCAACGGAAAAAAAAAUGAUAAAAAAAAAUCAAUUUUUAUCAAAUAUUUAUUUUAGAAUAUUAAAUUAAGAAAAUUUAUUUAUAAUUCUUAUAUACGUCUCAUAUACUCGGAAAAUAUGCAAAUAAUUUUAUGUCUGUAAAUAAGUCUUUAUUGGCAAUUUCCCAAUUUUUACAUUAGUUUAAAUGUCAAAAAGAGAUAAUUCCAACGAUGUUCCUUUUUUCUUGUUAAAGAAAAAAUUAUUUUUCAAUUUUGUUUAUAGAAAAUUAGAAUUUCUACUCGGAUUAAUUUUUUUUUUUUUUUUGAUUUUAGGAACUUUUUACCGUCUCAAGAACGCGGCAUAUUUAAAAAAUUCUUGCGCGGACUAAUAUAUAUAUAUAUAGUAAACAAAUAAUUAUUUACAUAUUAACAAAAUUUUUAUCUAAAUAAAAAAAAAUCAUUCCCGUUGACUAUAUGUAUUUUGUGCCAGUCGAUUAAUUUUUCUUUGUCUUCUGGUGAUAAUUGUAAUUUUAAUCUUCAGUGAUGAUCUUCAGGGAAUUUGUUCGAUGUGCCAUGGUAUUUUUUUUAUCUUCAGUGUUGUAUAUUUAAAAAAAUUUUUUUUUUUAUAAAAAUAUUGUAAAUUAAUUUAUCAAAAAAUCUCUCACUUUUUUGUCUCUUAAAUACUGAAUGUAAGUUUAAAAAUAUUUUGUUGAAAUAAAUUAAUUUUUAUAAAGAAAAAUAGAAUUUAUCACAGUUAUUUGAAUUUCUAAAAGCGUCUUUUUUUUUUCUUU